AGAACAGAUUAAUUAUAUUGCAAAUAAUUUUAGAAAAUACUCCUGUUUUA
rnacentral:tRNA from 1 species